UGGGAACGUACCUUUUGGUUCGGAACAACCCAGGGAAACUUGGGCUAAUACCGGAUAAGUCCGUAAGGAGAAAGAUUUAUCGCCAAAAGAUCGGCCCGCGUCUGAUUAGCUAGUUGGUGAGGUAACGGCUCACCAAGGCGACGAUUAGUAGCUGGUCUGAGAGGAUGAUCAGCCACACUGGGACUGAGACACGGCCCAGACUCCUACGGGAGGCAG
rnacentral:rRNA from 1 species